CUUUAAGAUCCUUCCAGCCAAGUCAAUCAGGCCCACCAAGAAUAAUAUCCCUUCUGAUCCAUUAACAUAACUGAUUCAUGACUAUAACCAUAGUUACAGAGUCCCUUUCCAGCAGCACCUAGAUUAGAGUUUGAUUGACACAGAAAUGAAAGUUUAUGUCAACACAUGGCCAUUGCCUCCCUCCAAUUCGCAGCCUACUCUACCCAGAAACGUGCUGGAAACAGUUCUGGGGACUAUAAUUCAGCCUAGCCAAACUGACACCUCUAAGCAUGAUCACAGAGCUAAUACCAAAACUUGUCUAGAAACAUCAACCCUGAAAAUGUGUGUCUUCUACUGGGGAGAAUUUGGUAGUUAUAGAAAGGAAAGAGUUGUGCUACCAAGUGCUAUAACUCUUUGGAACUCAAGUAGAUUUGCAGCAGAACUUUCUCCUGUACUUACUUGUUGAGCAUUCUAUAAGAGGGAAUUUUCCUUCCAACCCGGUAAAAUUAAUGCCAAGAGGUGGGUAUCACAUGGCUCUAGUUCUGCUGCAAUUACUUGGACUCCAGCUCACACAGAAGUGGUCGUAGCAAGAGCAGCAAUAACAGCAGAAACAGGAAAUGCUUUGUUUUUUUAAAAAAAAAGUUUUAUUGAAGUACAGUUAAUUUACAAGGCUAUGAUAAUUUCUGCUAUACAACAAAGUGACCCAGUUAUACAUAUACACAUAUCCAUUCUCUCUCAGAUUCUUUUUCCACAUAGAUUAUCACAGAAUAUUUGGUAGAGUUCUCUGUGUUGUACUUCAGGUACACAUUGGCUGAUUGUUCCAUAUACCUCAGUGUGCAUAUGCCAAACCCAAACUCCCAAUCCAUCCCUCCUAACCCCCCACAUCUGUCCCCUUUGGUAACCAUAAGUUUUUCAGUCUGUGAGUCUGUUUCUGUUCUGAAAAUAGUUCAUUUGUAUCCUUUUUUUUUUUUUUAAGAUUCCACAUAUAGGUGAUAUCAUAUGAUGUUUGUCAUUCACUGUCUGAUUAAAUUCACUUAGUAUGAUAGUUUCUAUGCCCAUGUUUCUGCAAAUGGCAUUAUUUCAUUCUUUUUUUAUGUUGGAGUAAUAUUCCUUUGUAUAUAUGCAUCACAUCUUCUUUAUCCAUUCCUCCAUUGAAGGGCAUUUAGGUUGCUUCCAUGUCUUGGCUAUUUUAAGUAAUGCUGCACUGAACAUUGGGGUACAUGUAUCUUUUCAACUUAUGGUUUUCUCUGGAUAAAUGCCUGGUGGGAUCGCUGGAUCAUAUGGUAGUUCUACUUUCAGUUUUUUGAGGAACCUCCAUACUGUUCUGCACAGUGGUUGCACCAACCCUCUCCACCAACAGUGUAAGAGGGUUCCCUUUUCUCCACACCCUGUCCAGCAUUUAGUAUUUGUCUCCAGUGUUUAGACUUUUUGAUGAUGGCCAUUCUGGCUGAAAACGCUUUGAGGUACCACUUUACACUGGAAAUGCUUUGCUUUGAAAUGGCUUUUCUGCACAGCUGACAACAUUAGAGAACCCAGCUUCUGGGGCAGGCAGGUGAUAAUGAUGGAUUUAAGAACAUAUGUUAGCAUAUAUGGAAUAGCAAGGAAACACUUGCUAGAGUAGGAACCAUAAAAAGCUGGACAUUCUGGAGUUGAUUACAUGAGGAAUUGGAGCCAUUACAACUUGAGUAGUGAUGUACCUGAGAUUACAGUUGUUUUAUCUAGCUACUGAAAUCUUGGGUACUGAUAUAGCAGCUGCAUAUUCAUAUUUAUAUACCAAAUAUCCAUAGAAUGUUCUAGGGCACUGGGUCACUAUUGUAGAGUGUACGAAGCCAGGGCCCAGUGUAAUGCCUGGAAGGCCAAAGGACAAGCAAUCAGAAUCAUAUUAUCAGGGUGGGGUUGAAAACAGACUCUGAGGAGAGGUAGACAAAGGAAACUGGAUGUGUAAAAGGAAAAUGGUAAUGUAAUCAAACCAAAUGCAGAAGUAAAUAAGUGGGAAUGUAGAAGCCACUCAAUGGCCAAUAAGCUAGAACCUGAAGGUCACAGAAACCUUGCUACAUCUGCAAACAUCUCCAUUUUCCCAUCUGAUUUGGCUACAAAAUAAGUCCUGUCUUUCCUGGUCCACCUGGUUCCCUUAUAGGCUUCUAACCGCAGGUCAUCAUAAACCCCAGAUGUUCCUCAUGUAAAGGGAAAUUGAAAGUUCUUAGAGGAAAUUUCAGAGACAAACAAGGGAUAAUAUAAUAAUCCCAACGGGGAAGUAAUUAACUCUAACUUGUCAUCACUUGGGAAAAAAAACAAAAAACAAAAAACUACCAUUUGGCUAAUUUUAGUUGGUGAUGUAACCCUUAAAAAAAAAAGAAAACUUAAAUAUCAGCAUAAUGCUGCCCCUCAACCUCUUUCUAUGGAAAGUUAUAUUCUAGUUAAUCACACAUGUAAAACACUAACAAUAUAAAUAUAUAAUUGAAAAAAUAAUGGAUUACUAUAUUAUUAAGAUGGAAAAAAGAAAUCCAGAAUACUUUGAAUUUGUUGGGUGGAAAGUAGACAGGAGAAAUGGAAAACCCCAAACACAGAAAUAGGAAAGAGGUUUUUACUACAAUGGGGGUUAUGAGGAUUCCUUCCAGAAUUUAAGAAAUUUGUGUAUACAACAUAGGCAGGAUAUAUGGUAGUGUUCAUAUUUUCAUAUAAAAAAAUAUAUAUGUAUCUGUAACUAAUGUGUAUUUGUUUUGCUUCUGGCACCUCACACCAGAGCUGUCAGGGGAGUGGGAAAAGAGGAUGCAACAGCUGUAGUCACAAAACAGACUGAGAUGGGGCGGGGGGAGAAAUGGAGGGUCGGUGAGUGAACAGAGUGGAGAUUGAGAAAAAGAAAGAGCAGAAAAAGUCAAAAUAUAAGGAGAGUCCUAUAGAGGACAUAAAGAAAAGGAUGAAAUAAAAAGAUGGGAGAGAGGAAAACAGGAAAGAUAGAAGAGUCACAACAGAACACGGUUGAAAAUGUUUCAAGAGAGCCCCACUGUAAGAAUGGAUUGUUCUCUACAGCUGAGGCACAAGCCAGAGUCUAACAAAGAAGAAAGAAAGAGUAAUAAGGAGGAGAGAAACAAAAUGUACCAGAAUCAUGUACAUACAUACACCGAACCAUAGGUCUUAAUGAAAAAAGGGGGCCGGGGGCUACUUACUGACCUCCUAAGACCUUUGAUCUAAUUAGAAAGAAGCCAAAGAAAGUUUUGUAAGCAGCUUGAAUAAAGAAAAAGGAUGCAUUUUAGACUUAAAAAGUUGUACUCCUGCAACCCUUCUCCCCUCUAGCGGAAAAGAGGAGCCACCCGCAUGCAAUCCCUAAGAAGCCCUUGCUGCUCCUUCUCGGAGUUCUUACUCCACCAAGUGUUGUCCAUUUCUUGACUCUGCCACCUCCUCUCUCUAUCAGCUCCUUCCUUUCAACAGCCAAAACUCACUCCAUCAAUUUGUUCCCCAUUUCCCCACAGCUGCUCCAGCUAUUGCCAUAUCCAUCUACCCUUUAGGAGGAGAUCAAAGAGUUCUUUCAAAAGCACAUCCAAUCAUGCUAUUCUUUCAAAACUCUUCCAAGCCUUGCCAUUGUAUUCUCAAUAUCGUCAAUGUUUGAUCUACAAAGUGUUGCCUGAUCGGGCCCCUACCUACUCUGUCAUCCACUAUGCUUUAGCCAUAUGGUCCUUCUUUAAGCUCCUUGAAAACCCAGUGCCCAGUUCAGUCCUACCUGGAGCUGUUCCUCCCUCUGCCUGAAAGUGUUGCCUAGACUUUCAUAUACCAUCCUUUGACUUAAAUGGCGCAUCCUCAAAGAGGUCUUCCCUUUGACUAGAAAAGAAAUUAUGCUAAAUCACAGUGCCCUCUCCUAUUAUGACUCUUAAAAUAGACUUUUUGCACAUAGAUAGUGGUUGAAUGUCUGUCUCUCCCAUCAGAGUGCAAGGAAAGUCACUGUACAUUUUACUUAUCUCAGUAUCUACAUAAAUAAAUACACUGUGCAGCCUAAAAGCAGGUCUUAUAAGGGCAGGAGUAGUUUCUAUUCUUUUGUCUAAAGGUUUUUAAUGUUGUGGAGCAUAGCAAUACCUGGAAAAUUCAUCAUCUUUGUCAAAUGUAUUCUGUAAAGAGCCAGAAAACAAAUAUUUGAGGUUUUGCAGGUAAUAAGGUCUCUGUUGCAACUCUUCAGCCUCGCCCACAGGGUGAAAGCAGUCAUAGAUAAUAGGUAAGUGAAAGAGCAUAGCUGUGUUUCAGCAAAACAUUAUUUCAGACCCUGAAAUUUGAAUUUCGCAUGUCAUGAAAUAUUCUUUUUGGAGUCUUUUUCAAAUUAAAAAAAUGUAAAAACUAUUUUUAGCUUGGGUAUCAUACAAAAACAGGCAGAGGGCUGGAUUUGGCUUGUGGGCUGUAGUUUGUCAACCCUGAUCAGUGUUAUAACCGUUUGUCAUCUGGUCGUCUUCUUUCCCUUCUCAACCUCUUUUCAUUGUAAAAAUAACCAAAUGACAAUAACAACAGUACCAAAUACUGCUUCCUAGAGAGAGAAAAUAAUCUGAUCAUGCUAUGAAUACACAUUCACACACCCUGCUUAAAUUCCUUCAAGGGCUCUCCAUUUCUCAUAGAUUAAAGUCAGAACUUCUCAACAGGUCCUAGAAGGUUCCCGGAAAUGCUGGCUGCCCCAUACGGCCACUCUGUGCCUCUGCUGUAUCGGAUGUCUCACAUUGCCCUCAUCCAGUUCACUCAGCUCCCAGCCUCCACGAGGCUGCCCACAGUUUCCUCCCUGCCCUUCCCUAGUGAUCACUACCUUUUAGGAGAAACUUCUUUGCAAGUGUGAUGCCAGCUGCCUAUUCCACGUGCCCUGGAGCCUGUCCUUCCCUCAUAUGGAAGACACUUUAGGUGGCCUCAGAGACACUGCCUCCCACCUCUCCUGACCCUCCUCUCAUCUGGAAGGGCUCAACUUCCACCAAAGGGAUAGAAACUUACCUCCUAAUGAUGAUUUUUUUUUUUUAACCAAACUUAUUUUGUGGUUUUUUUUUUUUUUUUGCCAUUGUUAAAGAUACUUAUCCUGUGUUGCUAUGGCUCUGGCAUAGGCCAGCGGCUACACCUCCGAUUAGACCCCUAGCCUGGGAACUCCAUAUGCCGCAGGAGCGGCCCUAGAAAAGGC
rnacentral:lncRNA from 1 species